rnacentral:rRNA from 1 species
GUAGGUGGCAAGCGUUGUCCGGAAUUAUUGGGCGUAAAGCGCGCACAGGCGGUUCUUUAAGUCUGAUGUGAAAGCCCACGGCUCAACCGUGGAGGGUCAUUGGAAACUGGAGAACUUGAGUACAGAAGAGGAAAGCGGAAUUCCACGUGUAGCGGUGAAAUGCGUAGAGAUGUGGAGGAACACCAGUGGCGAAGGCGGCUUUCUGGUCUGUAACUGACGCUGAGGCGCGAAAGCGUGGGGGAGCAAACAGGAUUAGAUACCCUGGUAGUCCACGCCGUAAACGAUGAGUGCUAAGUGUUAGGGGGAUUCCGCCCCCCCCUUAGUGCUGCAGCUAACGCAUUAAGCACUCCGCCUGGGAGUACGGCCGCAAGGCUG